AAGGAUCAUUGUCGUUGCCUCAAUCCAGAGAGACCCGCGGACCCGUUUUACUACUCGGGACAGUCGAAGCUGCCCAGCAGCCCGUCUUCCCCAAAUGUCGGGACGGAGCGGCGGAGCCAAGCUCUGCGGUAUCCCGUCCCGGCGCAAUAACAACAAACCCCGGCGCGGAAUGCGCCAAGGAAGCAACAACUGUACAGCGCGCCCCGUCGACCCGGUAACGGUGCUCGUACUGGGGAGGUCGCAACACUCGAGUCCAAAACGACUCUCGGCAACGGAUAUCUCGGCUCUUGCAUCGAUGAAGAACGCAGCGAAAUGCGAUACUUGGUGUGAAUUGCAGAAUCCCGUGAACCAUCGAGUCUUUGAACGCAAGUUGCGCCCGAAGCCAUUAGGCUAAGGGCACGCCUGCCUGGGUGUCACUAAUCGCUGCCCCAACCCCUGUGCCUCUGGCCACGGAGCGGGGUGAAUGCUGGCUUCCCGUGAGCAUCGCCUUGCGGUUGGUUGAAAAUCGGGUUCGUGGUGGAUGCAGUGCCAUGACAGAUGGUGGGUGAGCAUGUUCUCGAGGCCAGUCAUGCGCGCGACCUCCACCGGCUCCGUACCCAGUGACCCGCGAGCGAUGUCGAUCGCCCAUCAAGACGCGACCUCAGGUCAGGC
rnacentral:misc_RNA from 1 species